UUACGGACAUAUCACAUUGAAACACUAGUUAUCGAACGAUUACCGAAGUUAAGCAACAUCGAACCUGGUCACUACCUAGAUGGGUGACCGCUUGGGAAUACUAGGUGGUGUAAG